GUGCUCACUUUGGCAGCACAUAUACUAAAAUUGGAACGAUACAGAAAAGAUUAGCAUGGCCCCUGCGCAAGGAUGACACGCAACUUCGUUUGGUCUCACUCAUAGCA